rnacentral:rRNA from 1 species
GUAGAUUACCCAGAGGAACACCAAAAGCGAAGGCAGCUUGCUGGGAAAGUACUGACCACUCCAUGGACGAAAGCGUGGGUAGCGAACGGGAUUAGAUACCCCGGUAGACCGCGCCGUAAACUUUGGAUACCUAGUUGUUGGAGGGCUCGACCCUUUCCAGUGACGACGCUAACGCAUUAAGUAUCCCGCCUGGGGAGUACGGUCGCAAGAUUAAAACUCAAAGGAAUAGACGGGGACCCACACAAGCGGUGGAGCACCUGGCUUAAUUCGAUAAUGAGCGAGGAACCUCACCUGGACUUGACAUCCUGAGAAUUUCUUGGAAACAGGAAAGUGCCUUAUGGAACUCAGUGACAGGUGCUGCAUGGUUGUCGUCAGCUUGUGCCUUGAGGUGUUCGGUUAAGUCCGUAAACGAGCGCAACCCAUGUCCUGUGUUGCAUUUUUCCACAGGAGACUGCCGAUUCCCAAGUCGGAGGAAGGUAUGGAUGACGUCAAAUCAGCAUGGCCCUUAUGUCCAGGGCUCGCACAG